rnacentral:rRNA from 1 species
GACGUAGGAUGCAAGCGUUGUCCGGAUUUAUUGGGCGUAAAGAGUUCAUAGGUGGUUUGUUAAGUCUGGUGUUAAAGAUCGGGGCUCAACCUCGGGAGUGCAUUGGAUACUGGCAGACUUGAGUGUGGUAGAGGCGAGUGGAAUUCCCAGUGUAGCGGUGAAAUGCGUAGAUAUUGGGAAGAACACCGGUGGCGCAAGCGACUCGCUGGGCCAUUACUGACACUGAGGAACGGAAGCUAGGGGAGCGAAUGGG